GCGGGAGUAGCUCAGUUGGUAGAGCACCAGCUUGCCAUGCUGGAUGUCGCGGGUUCGAAUCCCGUCUCCCGCUCCA
rnacentral:tRNA from 1 species